CUCUGCGUCACCUGCACUGGAGUCACCACUUGCCUGUUGGGUAAGACCAGGAUGCACCGCUGAAAUAAAAAGGGGUCAGACAAUACAAGAAAAGCCAGUAGAAAUUGCCAAAUGUAUCAGAAUACACACAGGCUUUCUAAGGAUAUGGCCCAAGAGGAAGGCUCUAGAGCCCACCCUGAAACAGGAUUUUUGACUUCACAGAGAAAUUAUUUAAUUUUCAAUAACACAAUUCAAUUAAAGAAAGGGAAAUACAAGGCUAAACAAAUAAGAAAUGAAGACAAAAACCCAACCUUUCAAAUCUAAAGAAAAUAAUCUGUUUUAAAGACACAGAUGAAGAUCAGGAACCCAAAACAGAAGAAAGGAAAAGCAAUUAACGCUGGCAUCUG
rnacentral:lncRNA from 1 species